CUUAAAUUUCUUCUCUUUGCUUCUUCUCUCUCCACCGCCGUCGUCGUCGUCUCCGAUUUCCAUAAUGAACUUCUUAAUUUUUUAAUCCGGAAUUAUCUCCGGAAGUAUCAUGAGUAGAUAGAUGUUGAAGCUUAUAGAAUCUCUUUUUUUUUUGGUCCCUUAUUCGCUUCCAUGAACAUUUCAUAUUUUGGAUCUAUGAUUUAGAGUAAUAGGAUAAGAGUUAAUCAUAUGUUUGUUUUGAUUCUGGGAAUAGUAGAUGAUGAAGAUGAUGACAUAUAGCAGGUACUUAAGAGCAGUCUGUAUUAUCCUUGGAAUGUUUCUUGGUGCAGCUUUAUCUUUUGCUAUGCCAGAAUCUUCCGGAUACUCAGUCUGAAUGACUUUUCAAAUCAGCUUCUUUCUGAUUCACUCAUCUACUAGUUCUUCUUGAUUUAACAAUCUCAAUGUUUGUUUCUCGGAUAGUUUUCACUCCAAAAAUGAAAAAGUUUUCUUCUUCGUGAGGAUGUAACAUCCAGUUUAGGUUUGUUUUUUUAGUGUUAAUAUAUAUGAAUGUUUUCUUACUGCAACUUUAUAGAGCAGCCAAUGUUUGUUGGUUGUGUGAUUGAUUAGAUUCAGCUAUAAUGCUUGUUCUUUAUGUGUUAUGAACUAUAGAGGAAAAAAAAACAGAAGUUGGUUGCAUCCUCAUGUUAAUG